rnacentral:lncRNA from 1 species
GGCCGUGCUGCUGUCGUUGUUCGCUCCGCUCAGGAGCCUUGGGAAUUGGCAUCUACUGCUUGGUGACAGGCCUCCUUGCCCUACUCUUCGCCAUCUAUGGCCUGAUCGCUACAAAGGACGAAAUUAUUUGGAUCAACAUCAUAGCUUCCAUCAUUAGCAUCCUGCUCGCCAUCACACUCAUAAUUG